rnacentral:rRNA from 1 species
GAUGAACGCUGGCGGCGUGCCUAAUACAUGCAAGUCGAGCGAACAGACGAGGAGCUUGCUCCUCUGACGUUAGCGGCGGACGGGUGAGUAACACGUGGAUAACCUACCUAUAAGACUGGGAUAACUUCGGGAAACCGGAGCUAAUACCGGAUAAUAUAUUGAACCGCAUGGUUCAAUAGUGAAAGACGGUUUUGCUGUCACUUAUAGAUGGAUCCGCGCCGCAUUAGCUAGUUGGUAAGGUAACGGCUUACCAAGGCAACGAUGCGUAGCCGACCUGAGAGGGGGAGCGGCCACUCGGGAACUGAGACGCGGUCCAGACUCCUACGGGAGGCAGCAGGAGGGAAUCUUCCGCAAUGGGCGAAAUCCUGACGGAGCAACUCCGCGUGAGUGAUGAAGGUCUUCGGAUCGUAAAACUCUGUUAUUAGGGAAGAACAAAUGUGUAAGUAACGAUGCACGUCUUGACGGUACCUAAUCAGAAAGCCACGGCUAACUACGUG